CACUUCGGUCCGGAGUUGAUGGGUUAUCAUUCUGAAUUGUUUACUCUCUUCUGCUUGCAGGAGAACCCCCGGUUUCAUUGCGAAACCAAAACUCUCGCAUUCUCAUUAAGAGUGCAAAACCUUCCCAUCAACACCAACUCGACCGUUGU
rnacentral:sRNA from 13 species